CAUCUGCAACCUCAAGUUUAAUUCUGCUUCAGACUUAUCACUGCCAAAAUAUUUUAAAAAGUAAGAACUAUAAUAAUGCUUGAAAAACAUAUGGUUAAUUCCUUUACAUUUAACUUUCUAUAACCUUAGCUCUCCUACAAAGCUUGCAUUGUCUAAUUAAUCUAGUGUGCAACAUUAUUCCACUAAAACAAAGCCAUGCAUUUCUAAACAAUUUUUAUGACUUCCCAGUCUUUGUCAACACCAUUUCUGUUUGUGCAAAUGCCAAAAAAAAAAAAAGACUGACUUUCUGAAAAUCUUUUAAAAGUCAAGACUUUUCUUUCAUUUUUCAUUUCCCCAAUUCAUUUUCAUUUUUCAUUUCCCC
rnacentral:lncRNA from 1 species